AGAAGAAAUCAGUUACUUGAACACUGACGUUGGGUUCUUUAUUUAUUUUCAUAGGGGGCCCCAGGCCCACGAGGACCACAAGGCCCACCUGGAGUUCCAGGAGCACCGGGUCCAGCUGGUUCGGAAGGCAAGGCCGGAGUUCCUGGUUUACAAGGUCAAAGGGGCAAGAAGGGUGAAGUUGGUCUCCCGGGUCUCGAUGGCUUGCCUGGACCUCAGGGUCCAAUCGGGCCUCCUGGUGUUGCUGGCCCUCCUGGUGCUCCAGGAUUGCCUGGAGAAAUUGGUGUUUCUGGUAAAACUGGACUGCCAGGACCAGCUGGAUCACCUGGCAAGGAUGGAUUAAAUGGUCUUCCUGGAUUUCCAGGCCAAAAGGCAAGUGGCACAGGAUAUGCCAAUUUAACUCUAUUCACCUACUGAUCUUACUCUGUGGAUGGAGUGCCAAACUUCUCCAUGCUGGAUUCUCACCCAUUCCACUUCAGUGAGCCAAUAGGUGCAGCUUCA
rnacentral:lncRNA from 1 species